CGUUGGCGGCGUGGAUUAGGCAUGCAAGUCGAGCGCUCAUAGCAAUAUGGGAGCGGCGAACGGCGUAGUAAUACGUAGGAACGUACCCUCGGGUCGAGGAUAGCUAUGGGAAACUGCAGGUAAUACUCGAUAACCUCUGCGGAGCAAAGGUGUGAUUCCGCCCGGGGAGCGGCUUACGCGAUAUUAGCUAGUUGGUGGGGUAAUGGCCUACCAAGGCGAAGAUGUCUAGGGGGUGUGAGAGCAUGGCCCCCACGACCGGAACUGAGAUACUGUCCGGACACCUACGGGUGGCUGCAGUCGAGAAUCUUCCGCAAUGGACGAAAGUCUGACGGAGCGACGCCGCGUGCGGGAUGAAGGCCCUUGGGUUGUAAACCGCUGUCAGAGGGGAUGAAAUCUUCGGAGGUACUCCUCCGAAGUUGACAGAGCCUCAAAGGAAGCACGGGCUAAGUACGUGCCAGCAGCCGCGGUAACACGUACUGUGCGAACGUUAUUCGGAAUCACUGGGCUUAAAGGGUGCGUAGGCGGCGAUUCAAGUCAGAUGUGAAAUGCCUGAGCUCAACUGAGGCAUUGCGUUUGAAACUGAACCGCUAGAGUAUUUCAGGGGUGUGCGGAACUGCCAGUGGAACGGUGAAAUGUGUUGAUAUUGGCAGGAACACCGGAGGCGAAAGCGGCACACUGGGGAAUAACUGACGCUGAGGCACGAAAGCCAAGGGAGCGAACGGGAUUAGAUACCCCGGUAGUCUUGGC
rnacentral:rRNA from 1 species